rnacentral:rRNA from 1 species
GACGAACGCUGGCGGCGUGCCUAAUACAUGCAAGUCGAGCGAAUGACGAGAAGCUUGCUUCUCUGAUUUAGCGGCGGACGGGUGAGUAACACGUGGGUAACUUGCCUCAUAGAGGGGAAUAGCCUUUCGAAAGGAAGAUUAAUACCGCAUAAGAUUGUAGUACCGCAUGGUACAGCAAUUAAAGGAGUAAUCCGCUAUGAAAUGGACCCGCGUCGCAUUAGCUAGUUGGUGAGGUAACGGCUAACCAAGGCGACGAUGCGUAGCCGACCGGAGAGGGUGAUCGGCCACAUUGGGACUGAGACACGGCCCAGACUCCUACGGGAGGCAGCAGUGGGGAAUAUUGCACAAUGGGGGAAACCCUGAUGCAGCAACGCCGCGUGAGUGAUGACGGUCUUCGGAUUGUAAAACUCUGUCUUCAGGGACGAUAAUGACGGUACCUGAGGAGGAAGCCACGGCUAACUACGUGCCAGCAGCCGCAGUAA